ACACGACUCUCGGCAACGGAUAUCUCGGCUCUCGCAUCGAUGAAGAACGUAGCAAAAUGCGAUACCUGGUGUGAAUUGCAGAAUCCCGCGAACCAUCGAGUUUUUGAACGCAAGUUGCGCCCGAGGCCUUCCGGCCGAGGGCACGUCUGCCUGGGCGUCACGCC
rnacentral:rRNA from 1 species